rnacentral:tRNA from 1 species
GGCUCCAUAGUGCAAUGAUUAGCACAUCUGCUUUACAUGCAGAAGGUCCUGGGUUCGCGCGCCCCAGGUGGAGCCA